GAUGAACGCUGGCGGCGUGCCUAAUACAUGCAAGUCGAGCGAAUGGAUUGAGAGCUUGCUCUUAUGAAGUUAGCGGCGGACGGGUGAGUAACACGUGGGUAACCUGCCCAUAAGACUGGGAUAACUCCGGGAAACCGGGGCUAAUACCGGAUAACAUUUUGAACCGCAUGGUUCGAAAUUGAAAGGCGGCUUCGGCUGUCACUUAUGGAUGGACCCGCGUCGCAUUAGCUAGUUGGUGAGGUAACGGCUCACCAAGGCAACGAUGCGUAGCCGCCCUGGGAGGGUGAUCGGCCACACUGGGACUGAGACACGGCCCAGACUCCUACGGGAGGCAGCAGUAGGGAAUCUUCCGCAAUGGACGAAAGUCUGACGGAGCAACGCCGCGUGAGUGAUGAAGGCUUUCGGGUCGUAAAACUCUAUUGUUAGGGAAGAACAAGUGCUAGUUGAAUAAGCUGGCACCUUGACGGUACCUAACCAGAAAGCCACGGCUAACUACGUGCCAGCCGCCGCAGUAA
rnacentral:rRNA from 1 species